rfam:Loxodonta africana unplaced genomic scaffold scaffold_72, whole genome shotgun sequence.
GCAAUGGUGGUUCAGUGGCAGAAUUCUUGCCUUUCAUGCAGGGGAUCUGGGUUCGAUUCCCAGCCAUUGCA